rnacentral:rRNA from 1 species
UACGUAGGGACCAAGCGUUGUUCGGAUUUACUGGGCGUAAAGGGCGCGUAGGCGGCAAAUUAAGUCAUCUGUGAUAUCUCCGAGCUUAACUCGGAACGGUCAGGUGAUACUGAUCUGCUAGAGUGCGGAAGGGGCAAUCGGAAUUCUUGGUGUAGCGGUGAAAUGCGUAGAUAUCAAGAGGAACACCUGAGGUGAAGACGGGUUGCUGGGCCGACACUGACGCUGACAGCGCGAAAGCCAGGGGAGCAAACAGG